UGAUCUUAUUAUUAAAGCUACUAGAUGGAUAGCUUGGUUUGGAUAGCGAUAAAGGACGUGGCAAGCUGCGAAAAGCUCGGAUUAGGCGCAUGCGGCCUUUGAACCCGAGAUCUCCGAAUGCGAUAACGUUCUCAUUAGAGAAUGCCGAAAGGCAAGCAUACUCCGGGAAUUGAAACAUCUUAGUACCGGUAGGAAAAGAAAACAAUUGUGAUUCCCCCAAUAGCAGCGAGCGAAAAGGGAAUAGGGCAAACUGAAUCUCCGUUUGAAAAGACGGCAGAGAUGUGGUGGAGGCCAGUGGCUAAGUUGUCGAGGGAAAGUUCUCUGGAAAGAGGCACCUUAGAGGGUGAUAGUCCCGUACUCGAAGACAAUAUGCUGCUCUCUGAAAGAGUAGGGCCCCCUAGAUAGGAGGUCCGAAUAUAGCUGGAUUAACAGCUAACCCUAAAUAUUGAUCCAAGUCCGAUAGCGAACUUAGUACCGCGAGGGAAAGCUGAAAAGUACUCUUAGUCGAGGGUUAAAAGACUUGAAAUCUAGUAGCCACAGCUGGUUACGGCUCUUUUAUAGAGUUGUAACGUGCGUUUCGAAAAACGAGCCACGGAGUUCUCCUAUGUGGCAAGGUUAAAUUUAGAAGCCAAAGCGAAAGCGAGUCCGAAAGGGCGUUAGUCACAUGGGAGAGACCCGAAGCCGGAUGAUCUACUUGUUAGCAGGAUGAAGUUCUCCGAAAGGAGAAUGGAGGUCCGAACCAGUGUUGUAUGCAUGCACUUGGAUGACUUGUGAGUAGGGGUGAAAAGCCUAUCUAAUUCGGCGAUGGCUGGUUCCUGUCGAAAUAUGCCUCAGUAUAGUCUUGCCUAGUUUGUUAACGAGGUAUAGUACGGAUUGCGUUUGCAGAGCCUAACGGCUACGGAACUCGUUCCAACUCAGAACUUGUUAGCGACGUAAAGCAGGAAUGGGGGGCAGUGCGUAAGGUACUGUUCCGAGACCCGAACAAGGGAGACUGAAGUUAAGGUCCCAAAAUAUAUACUCAGUGUAACAAACCUGGUCUUUAACCUGAGACAGUAGGGAUGUAGGCUUAGAAGCAGCCAUCAUUUAAAGAAAGCGUAACAGCUCACCUAUCGAGGUUAGAGGCGGGGAAAAUGGACGGGGCUAAGUAUAUUACCGAUACUUCAGAGGCAUUCGUAAGAAUGUUCUGGUAGGCAGGCGUGCGUUCUGCGCAGAAGUUUUUUCGAGAGAAAGAAUGGAGCGGAGCGUAAUGAUAAUCGUGGUAUUAGUAAGAUCAAAUUAUCCUGAGAAUGGAUAGCGUCGAAAGAGCAAGGUUUCCUUGGCACUAUCGUUUAACCAAGGGUUAGUCGGUACCUAAGUCAUAUCUUAACUGCGUAUGGCGAAAGGACAUCCGGUUAAUAUUCCGGAACUUGCUAUUUUUGUUCAGUGCACGAAUUUGCUUAGGGAUAAGUAGCAUUUCGAGAGGAAUGCGGCGUGCGAAUACUGUGGAGCGUAAUGCUAAGAUGCAGUAAAAUCGCGCCGGGAGUACCUACUGACUCCUAGAGUCCAUGAAAACUUUGUGUAUAGAAAAUAGUAAGCCGUACCAAGAAUCGACACUGAUGCUCUAGCUGAGAAGGCUAAGACGUGAAAGGGAAAAACUGGUUAAGGGAACUCGGCAUAUUGGCCCCGUAUCUUCGGUAGAAGGGGUGUCUAUAGGUGUCUUUGAUUUAUCAUAGGCAUCAGUAGAUCUCAGUAACAAGGACCGCCCGACUGUUUAUCAAAAACGUAGCCGGUUGCAAAUCUGAAAAGACUAGUAUAACCGGUGAGACCUGCCCAGUCGCGGUGUUUCAAACUCUGUUCCAACGGAGCUAAGACCCGUGAAACGGCGGGAGUAACUAUGACUCUCUUAAGGUAAACAAAAGCUGCCUUACAGACAAUUCGUAAGAAUUGAAUGAUCUAGGAGUUAUAGAAAAUAGUCGAGCAUUAUAUGCAAAGAGUUAAACCAAAUAGAGAAAAUCGAGCUAUAUGCUGGAAAACCCGAGGAUCUCAAAGUACUUUAGAAAUAAAGUGAAAAUCUUUUGAGUGCGGACAAUCAGCAGGGAAGAUUUCUUAAAAAAAGAAAAACCCUCAGAGACUGAACGCUCGAGAUAAUUAAAAAUUAUUAAGAUAUAGUCCGACCUUCAUAGCGAUAUGAAGAAUUGUAUUCAAAUAAAAUGAAUACAGAUUAACAUUAAAUGAGCGUAAUGCCUUGUCGUCUGAAUGGCGACGUGCAUGAAUGGUUUAAUGAGGUGGUCACUGUCCCUAACCAGGUCCUUCUGAACUUAUUGAUCGGUGAAAAUGCCGAUGACGCCUAGUGGGAAGCGGAGACCUUGUGAACCUUUACUGCAACUUGUUGUUGUAGCUUUAAGGGAAAUGCAGAGCAUAGGUAGGAGCGUCGAAGUCAUCUUUCAGGAGAUGAUGGAGCACCAUUGUAAUACUACCCAUUUUUCUUGAAGUUGCUCACCCGAGAGGGGACACCAGCAGGCGGGCAGUUUGGCUGGGGCGGCACCCUGCAGAAAAGAUAUCUGCAGGGCCCAAUGACAAGCUCAACCAGGUUGGAAAUCUGGUGAUGAGUGCAGAAGCAAAAGCUUGUCUGACUGUAUUUCGCACAGCAAAGAAUGCAGAGAUGAAAGUCGGGUUCAGCGACCCCACGUAGUUUUUUAAUAGGACUCGUGUGUGACAGAAAAGGUACUCCAAGGAUAACAGGCUUGUCGCGCCCGAUAGCUCAUAUUGACGGCGCGGUUUGGUACAUCGCUGUCGGCUCUUCCUAUCCUGGUAGUGCACAGGCUACCAAGGGUGUCGGAGUUCACGCAUUAAAAGGGAUCGUUAGCUGGGUUAAGAACGUUAAAUAUACGCUAACACAUCCUGACCAAAACUUAAACUUGAAAAAGUUGAAGUUCACGCGGAAUUUAUUUCCGUGUUUGACCGCAAGAGCUGCAAAAAAGCGGCGUUGCGUGCGAGUAAUUGCACGAAAAAUUAAAUCAGCUCAUAUCGGGGAAACCUUUUUAUUUUAACUGUAAAUAAAAUGGCGAUCCCGAGGGAAGUCUACAAUAAUAUUGAAGACCCCGUAGAGACUUAGAGAUUUCUCUUAAAAAAAGAGAAUAGGAACCGUCAGUUCCAAAAAAAUCUAGACUUAUUCUUUAAUAGAAUAGGUAACACGCUGAUCCCCUUCGAUUGAAGGGUGAUGGUAUAGUCCACACAAAACAAAUAAAUAAGUUUUGAUUAUGUACGCGAGACAGUUUGUAUGAUAUCUACUAGGCGCGUUAUUGUCUGAGUGGAACGAGUAUCUAGUACGAGAGGAACGGUACUCGGGUGCCUCUGGUUUACCAGUUGUUAUGAAGCAGGCUGGGCAGCUACGCACUGAUGGAUAAGCCCUGAAAGCAUCUAAGGACGAAGCCACCCGCAAGACGAGACAAUUUAGGCCGUCAAAGAAGAUGACGUUGAUAGAGCUGGUGUGUAAGAUCCAAGGCAACGAGGAUUUCAGCAUGCAGCUACUAAUAGCCUCAUUGAGAUAAAAU
rnacentral:rRNA from 1 species